GACGAACGCUGGCGGCGUGCUUAACACAUGCAAGUCGAACGGAAAGGCCCUGCUCUUGUGGGGGGCUCGGGUGGCGAACGGGAGAGUAAAGCGUGAGUAACCUAACCUUGACUUUGGGAUAACUUAAGGAAACUGGGGCUAGUCCCGGAUAGGAGCUCCUGCUGCAUGGGGGUGGUUGGAAAGUGUCGGGGGUUGGGUAUGGGCUCGCGGCUUAUCAGCCUGUUGGUGGGGUAGUGGCUGACAAGGGCUUUCACGGGUAGCCGGCCUGAGAGGGUGACAGGCCACAUUGGGACUGAGAUACGGCCCAGAAGCCUACGGGAGUGAGCAGUGGGGAAUAUUGCACUAUGGGGGGAAGGCUGAUGCAGUAAAGCCGCGUGCGUGAUGAAGGCCUUUGGGUUGUAAAGCGCUUUCGCCUGUGAUGAAGCGUGAGUGACGGUAAUGGGUAAAGAAGCACCGGCUAACUACGUG
rnacentral:rRNA from 1 species